CAUGGUUGUCGUCAGCUCGUGUCGUGAGAUGUUGGGUUAAGUCCGCAACGAGCGCAACCCUACUUGUUAGUUGUCCAUCAUUCAGUUGGGCACUCUAGCGAGACUGCCGGUAAUAAACCGGAGGAAGUGGGAUGACGUCAAAUCAUCAUGCCCCUUAUGACCUGGGCUACACACGUGCUACAAUGGUUGGUACAACGAGUUGCGAGUCGGUGACGGCGAGCUAAUCUCUUAAAGCCAAUCUCAGUUCGGAUUGUAGGCUGCAACUCGCCUACAUGAAGUCGGAAUCGCUAGUAAUCGCGGAUCAGCACGCCGCGGUGAAUACGUUCCCGGGCCUU
rnacentral:rRNA from 1 species